AACCACACAUACACACACAUUUACCACACUUGGCUCUUAUAGACUGGAAGGACAGAUGCUCUUCCUGAGCAAAGGGGCCGACCUGCAGAAAGAAAGUCAGCUCACAGGAAGCAGGACCAAAAUGUUUUGCUCGCCGCUGUGGCUUUAUCAACAAAAAUACUAUCUGACACUGACUUAUUCGUUGCAUAAGUAAAGGAAAUAAACAGCUGGCUUUCCCCUAUGGAAAUGAGGAACUGCUGAAGAUUCUGAGGAGGCCGGGUAACAGAACUCAGGCCCUAGGAGAUGAAUGGUUGGUUAACCCUGCGUGCACUCGAGAAAGGAACCCAGCAGCCGCAUCCUGCCUUUCCUGUUUUGCGCACCAUCCUCCUAGUCACCCAGGCUUGAGACCUGCAAGUUCUCGGACACCUCCCAUCUAGAGAGCCACCUGGCCCACCAUCCCUUCCUUUCCUCAUCUUUGCUGCUACCACACCCUAGGUUUUGACCACAUAAAUGUAGGGCCCUGCCAGCCUCCCAGCUCAUCCUUCUGCUCCAGACUCCUCCUCUUACACUGUCUUGUACCACACCACCAGAGUGUUCUUCCCCAGACACCCACUGCUCUGUUCAAAAGUCUUCAAUCAAGCACAUAUUCUCAGGAUCUCCUGAGGGCUGUGUCAAAAAAAAAAAAAAAAAAAAAAAAAAAGUCUUCAGUUGCUUCCCACUGCCCAGAGGAAAAUGUCUACUCAGUCAGUACUUCGGUUUUCCUCAAUCUGACCCAUACUUCCCCUCCCCUCCUAAACUUCCUCUAGCCUAGACUGAGGACAGUAUACUCACUUCUCACCCUAGUCUCCAGACUUGUGCUAUCUAAUCCAGAAGCUGUUAGUCACAUUUAGCUAUUUAAAAUAAUUAAAAUUAAACACAAUUUAAAAUUCUGUUCCUUGAUGGCACUAGCCACAUUCAGACUAGUGGCUACCAUAUUGGACAGCAUAGAAAGAAAAUACUUUCAUCAUUGCAGCAAGUUUGAUUGGAGAGUGGUGCUCUAACUUUUGAUGGCCUCCCAAUCAAUUUCUACUCCUUCCACCAAUUGUUAUCUGCCUGUAAGAACAGCAUUGGCGCCAUGAUGCUGGCUCUAACAAUCUGGGCAGGAGCAAUCCCUCCCUCCUCUAAAUCCCAUGUGGAAGUUUUACUGGGAUCACUCGAACGUUACUGCCAUGUCUAUCUUUCCUUAAUUUCUUGGUAAUACAAAGUUCAGUGGGAAGAGAUUAUUUUGAAAAUCUAAAAUUCCUGAUGAAACACCACAGAACAAUUUUACAAACACCUCCACUUCAAAAACAAACUGAUGAAGGAAUAAUGUAGUUGGGGUGGCCAAUAGUAAUAAAAUGAUUCUGUGCCUAAAAACUUAAAGGAAUUCUACUACCGAUGAUUUGCUUCUAUCAUAAGCACUGGUGCAUGCCGAGACUAGAAGUCUGGCUUUCUAUAUCCACAGUUUAAAUCAUUAUUGACUUAUGCUUUGUGCUGGGUGAUGGAUUUCUUCUCAUCUGCGGAUGGUAAAUGGCCUUAUUCAAAAAGAGACACAAGACUAAAGUCGACGGUACCACGUCAGUGAUUCUUUCAGAACUGUACACUUGAUGCCACUAAUUGCUAGACUGCCUGCUUUUCCCACAAAUUACGCAGUUACGGGCCUGAACUCUACGGCAGGGACAGCAGAAAACAUGUAAAGCACUGUGGGAAUGCAGAGUGGCAGCGGCAAAGGCUCUAAAUUAGGUCUACUGUGGUCCCUGGACCUGCAGCAGCAGAAUCACUGUGAACUGGAUAGAAAUACAGGUCUAGGGCCCCCCUCCAGACCUACAGACACAGAAACUCUGGGGGCAGGGCAGAGACCAGUAUUUGUUGGGUUUGGGGUUUGUUUAUCCUUUUAAUUGAAAUAUAGUUAUAACUUAUACUUGGUACAAUAUACAAAUCUUAUUGUACAGUUCC